GACGAACGCUGGCGGCGUGCUUAACACAUGCAAGUCGAACGGUGAAGCGCCUUCCUUUUUGUUUGGUGUGGAUGAGUGGCGAACGGGUGAGUAACACGUGAGUAACCUGCCCCCUUCUUCUGGAUAACCUCAUGAAAGUGUCGCUAAUACGGGAUAUUCUGUGUCUGUCGCAUGAUGGGUCUUGGAAAGCUUUUGUUUCGGUGUGAGAUGGGCUCGCGUCCUAUCAGCUUGUUGGUGGGGUGAUGGCCUACCAAGGCGGUGACGAGUAGCCGGCCUGAGAGGGUGGACGGUAACAGAGGGAAGACGACGCGGACAAGACUACGACGGGAGGCAGUGGGGAGGAAUAGUGCACGAGGGGAGGAAGGAUGAUGCAGUGACGCCGCGUGAGGGAAGGAGGCCUGCGGGUAGAGAACUUCUUUCGGGAGUGAAGAGGGCCUGCCUAGUAUGUGGGUGGGUUGACGGUAGCUGGAUAAGAAGCGCCGGCUAACUACGUG
rnacentral:rRNA from 1 species